rnacentral:lncRNA from 10 species
UAGAUUCACUGCUACCUCUGCCUCCUGGGUUCAAGCGAUUCUCCUGUCUCAGCCUCCAGAGUAGCUGGGAUUACAGGCAUGCACCGUCAUGCCUGGCUAAUUUUUGUAUUUUCAGUAGAGACGGGGUUUCACCAUGUUGGCCAGGUUGGUCUCGAACUCCUGAUCUCAGGCGAUCCACUCGCCUAGGCCUCCCAAAGUGCUGGGAUUACAGGCGUGAGCCUACCGCGCCCAGCCUUAUUUCAUAAUUUUUGAUCGUAAUUCCACCCACAUGUUCUAUUCAUGUGAAAUUUACUAAGGUGAGACCAAGUGGAGAUAAAAACUAUCUAAACGAAAAACUUAGGUCUCUCUUUCAGACUUUUUUUUGGUUUUAUGGUGGUAAAUACAACCCACUUGGCCUUUCCCCUGAGACUACUGGUUCUUUUGUCACUGGAGUCCCAGAGAUCAGGGUUUGAACUAGCCUACCACUUACUGGUCAUGUAACUUUGGGCAAUUCAGUUUGCAUCCCUAAGCCUCAAUGUCUUCAUCUGUAGGAUGGAGGUAACCAUAAUGCCUGUCUCAGAGGCUGCUGCUAGUGUUAACUGUGGGACACAACACAGAGUAAGGCACAGACGAGGUGUGCAGAAAACAUCAGCUUCGUGGUUUUUUACUCUUCUGCACUUGCUGUAGCAUUCUGCAAAGCUAUUAUUCCUUUCCUAGACUCACGCCCAAAGUUACGGAGGACCCAGCAACCAUCUCCUGCAGCCCCUGAAAACCUCUUGACUCUUCUGUGAUGUCCCCAGUGAUCCAGCAGCCCCGGCCUUCUUUUGAUGGCUUGAACAUUUGGUCUUCAUUGAACAGUUUGUAUAUUGGAAACUUGCCAGCCUCCAUCCACAUUCCAACCUCCGUCUGCAUCCCUCGAAUAACUGGGAGAUGAAACAGGAAGCUCUAUGACACACUUGAUCGAAUAUGACAGACACUGAAAAUCACGACUCAUCCCCCUCCAGCACCUCUACCUGUUGCCCGCCGAUCACAGCCGGAAUGCAGCUGAAAGAUUCCCUGGGGCCUGGUUCCAACUGCCCACUGUGGACUCUGAGGCCUCUGCAUUUGCGGGUGGUCUGCCUGUGAUAUUUUGGUCAUGGGCUGGUCUGGUCGGUUUCCCAUUUGUCUGGCCAGUCUCUGUGUGUCUUAAUCCCUUGUCCUUCAUUAAAAGCAAAACUAAAGAAAACAGAA